GAGCAUUUUAACCCUCAGUAGUGAGCACACAGAGAUAUUCCUUCAGCAUACCAUACUGCCAUAGAGUGAUGGAGGAAUGACACCAGUAAUUUGAGACCUCUUCAGUGGCUCUGUGAUACAAAGUUAAAACCAGGUCUGCUGCAGUUUGCGGGAGGUCCACUCCAGACCCUGUUUGCCUGGGUGUCACCAGUGGAGGCUGCAGAACAGAAAGGAUUGCCACCUGCUCCUUCCUCUGGAAGCUUCAUCCCAGAGGGACACUGGCCUGAUGCCAGCCACAGCUCUCCUGUACAAGUGUUUAUUAUAUCCCUCUAUAUGGCCAUGUGUACUCAUCGUUCACCUUCCACUUACAUGUAAAAACAUAUGUCUCUCUCUGUCACCAUGCUGGAGUGCAGUGGUGAGAUCUGGCUCACUACAACCUCUCCCUCCUAGUCAGGAUGGUCUUGAUCUCUUCACCUCGUGAUCUGCCUGCCUUGGCCUCCCAAAGUGCUGGGAUUACAGCAUGAGCCACUGCACUCAGCCAACCUUGCUAUUUUGAAUGGUGCCAUGAUAAACACAGCAAUGCAGCUAUGUGUUUGAUAUAACUCCUCUCACCACCACCACUUUGAGUAGAUAUCUAGUUGUGGCAUUGCUGGGCCAAAUGGUAGUUCUAUUUUUAUUUCUUUGAAAAAUUUUCAACUGUUUAAAUAAGAAUUGAGCUAAUUUUAUUCUCAGGAACACUAUAUCAUUAUUCUAUUUUUCUGCAAUUUAGCCAGUGUUUGUUGAUUUCUGAAUUUUUGUAAUAGUUAUUCUGACUGCUGUGAAAUAUCUCACUGUGAUUUUGAUUUUUCUGCCUCUGAUGAUUAACAAUGUUGAGCAUUUUUUAUCUAUUUGUUGUUCACUUGUAUGUUGUCUUUUGGGAAAUAUCUGCUCAUGACUUUUGCCCACAGAAUGUUUUCUUUUCCUGGUUAGUUAUUUGAGUUUCUUCUAGAGUCUGGACAUUAGCCCUUGUAGGAAAUAUUUUUUGCCUUUUUUUUUUUUAAUAUUCUACAGGUUAUCUGUUUACUGUGUUAUUGAUUUGCCGUACUGAAGCUUAUUAGUUUAGUUGUUGCAUUUGUUCCUGUAUUUGUUGCAUUUGCUUUUGAGGUCUUAGCCAUAAAUAUCUUUAAACUGUAUUAUUAAAUAACACAUUGUAUGACUUAUCUGUUUUAUCUACAGUACAUAAAAAUUGUACUAUUAAAUAAUAAAGUGUAUUAUUUAUCUGUUUUACAUACUGUUGGUUUUGCUUUGCUGGUAUUUUGAGAAUUUUUGCACUUAGGUUUAUUGGAGACAUUGGUCUGUAGCUUUCUCUUCUUGUAUUUGUUUUGUUUUGUUUUUGUCUGGUUUUUAUAUUGAAAUAACACCUGCCUUCUAUGAGUUAGGAAUAAUUUUCUCUUCCUCAAUAUUUGAAAUGUUUGCAGGAGGAUUGGUAUUAGUUUAUCUUUGCAUGUUUUGUAAUAUUUUGCUGUGAAUCCAUCUGCAUCAAGGCUUUUUUUUUUUUUUUUGUCGGGUGGAAGCAUGAAUACUUGUUAUUCAAGUGUUCAGGUUUCCGGUUUCCUCCUGGGUCAAUCAUAACAGGUUGUGUGUUUUCAGUAAUUUGUUCAUUUUCUCUAGAUUUACUUGUUUGACAGUUAAUAGUUGUCACAAUGCAUCUGGUAAUCCUUUGUAUUUCUGUGGUAUCACUUGUAAUGUCUUUUUUAUUUGUUUUUAAUUUAUUUAUUAUUAUUCAUUUAUCUUUAUUUAUUUACUGUUUAUUUUGUGUUUGAGUAUUCUUGAUUGGCUUACUUGCAAUUUACUAAUUGUGUUUGUAUUUUCAAAGAAAUAGGUUUUAUUUUGAUCUUUAAAAAAAUUUUAGUUGCUAUUUGAUUUAGUUCUUCUGCCUUUAUUUCCAUUAUUUAUUUUCUUCAGCUAUUUUUGGGUUUGUCAUGUUAUUUCUUUUCCAGUUUCAUGAUCUGUGUUAUAAGACUGUUAAUUGGUAAUCAUUCUUCCUUUUCAAUGUAGGCAUUAAAUAUGUUAAACUUCCUGCUUAGCAGUUUUGCUGUAUUCCACAAGUUUUGGUACAUUGUGUUUUCCUUUUUGUUUGAGAAAAUGUUUUUAUUUUCAUCUUAAUUUUUUACAGAGUCAGUGAUCAUUUCACAUCAUGUUUUUCAAUUUUUAUUUAUUUGUGUAAUUUCCAAAAAUUAUCUUACUAUUGAUUACUAGUUUUAUUCCAUAUUUAGUUAACAAUAUAAUAAUUUCAGUUUAUUUGAAUCCCUAAAAUUUGCUUUGUGUUCUAUUCUUGAGAAUGUUGCAUAUGCUGAGAAGAAUGUGUAUUCUACAGAUGCUGGAGGAAAUGUUCUGCAAAUAUCUAUUACAUUUAUUUGCCCUAUUGUAUAAAGUAAUGAUUGUGAUUCUUUUUAAAUUUUUAUUCUAGAUUAUCUGCCUUCUAGAUAAUGAAAUUGUAAAAGUCUGUUUUGUGAUAAAAAUGUCUUGAAGCCUUCAGCUGAUCUUUAGGAUUUUACUCUAUUGUUUAAAAUGUAUAAAUUUAAGUGUACAAUGCAAUUUUAUUACAUGAUCAUAUUGUGUAGUGAUAAAGUCAUGGUUUUAGUGUAUUAAUCAUCUGAAUAAUGUACAUUGUACUCAUUAAGUAUGUCUCAUCAACCAAGCUCUUUCCAUCCUUCCACAUUUCUGACUCUCCAAUGUGUAUCAUUCUAUACUUUAUGCCCAUGCUUACAAUAUUGUGAAUAUACAGUAUUUGACUUUAUGUUUCCAAGUUUGUUUGUUUUAGAUCAUGGCCUCCAGUUUUAUACAUGUCAAUAGAGAGGACAUGACUUUAUUCUUUUCUAUAAUGAAAUUGUAUUUUAUUAUGUUUAUGUAGCAUAUUUGUUUAAUCUAAUUAUAUGGUGAUAAUCAGUUUAGGUAAUUCUAUUGUUUUACUACUGUGAAUAAUGCUGCAAUACUUAUAUGAUAUGUAUUUUAUAUAAUGAUUUUAAUAUCUUUGAUAGAUACCCAGUAGUGGGAUUGCUGGAACAAGUGGUACUUACAGUUUUAGUUCUUUGAUAAAUAACCAUUCUGUUUUUCAUAGAGCUUAUACUAAUCUAUAUUCCCACCAACAGUAUUAAGCAUUCUUUCUUAGCAUCCUCAUCAUCUGUUUUUCUUUUUAUGUAAUAGCCAUUUUGAGUGGUGUAAUAUGAUAUCUAUCUUACGGUGGUUUUAGUUUGCAUUUCUUUGAUCAUUAGUGAUGUUGAACAUUGGCUUAUAUGCAUGCUGGCCUUUGGAUGUCUUCUUUUGAUAAAUGACUAUUCAUAUUAUUAAUAGCUUUUAUUAUCCUUUCAAAACUUAAAUUUUGGUUUUCACAAACACAUGAAGGUUUCUUACACAGUUAAACUCAGGUCAUAGGGAUGAGUUGUAAAGAUUAUUUCAUCACCUGGAAAUUAAGCCCAAUACCCAAUAGUUAUCUUUUCUGCUUGUCUCCCUUUUUCUUCCCACCAUCCUCAAGUAGACCCCACUGUCUGUUAUUUCCUUCUUUGUUUUAACAAGUAUUACUUAGCCCUAACCUUUGAUGAAAACUAUUGGUUUUCUCUUCCAGCAUUAGCUUACUCAGAUUAAUACCCUCCAUCUCCAUCCAUGUGCCUGCAAAAAAAAAACAUAAUCUUGCUUUUUUAUAUGUAUAUUGGCAUAGUAUUCCAUGGUAUAUAUAUGCCAUAUUGCUUUAUUCUAUCAUUAAUGAACAUUUAUAUUAAUAUCAUGUCUUUGCUAUUGUAAAUACUGCUGCUAUGAAUAUUCAUGUGUAUGUCUCUGUGUGGUAGGAUGAUUUAUGUAUCAUCCUUUGGUACACACUUAGUCAUAAAAUUGCUUAGCCAAAUGGUAGUUCUGCUUUUAGCCUUUUGCAGAAUCACAAUACUGCUUUCCACAAUGCUUGAACUAAUUUAUGCACCCACAAACAGUGUAUAUAUGUUUCCCUUUCUCUGCAGUCUUGCCAGCAUCUGUUACUAUUUCACUUUUUAGUAAUAGCUUUUCUGACAGCUGUGAGAUUGUAUCUUAUUGUGGUUUUGAUUUGCAUUUAUCUAAUCAUCACUGAUAUUGAGCUUUUUUUAUACAUGAUUAUUGGCAGCAUGUAUGUCUUCUUUUAAAAAAAAUCUGUUCAUGUCCUUUUCCCAUUUUUAAUGGGGUUUUCUAUUGGAAUUGUGUUAAAGUUCUUUAUAGAUGUUGGGUAUUAGACUUUUUCAGAUGCAUAGUUUGCAAAAUUUUUCAGAUUUUUGUCAGAUGCACAGGUUGCAAAAUUUUCUCCCAUUCUGUAGGUUGUCUGUGUACUCUGUUGAUAGUUUCUUUUGCUGUACAAAGUAACAUUUUAAUGGUUUUAUUUGUUUUUCCUGUUGCUUGAGUUUAUUAUAUAUUCUAGAUAUCAGUGUAUUUCUUUUGUUUCUACCCUGACCUUUGUAAUUUAUAAUUUUCUACACAUUGUGAGUAGUUUCAUUUUGUUUUCCUAAAACUCUGAGUUGUCUUAUUUGACUUUUUAGAGCUUUUUACUUUUAAGUGUUGGAAUUUGUUGCUAUCAACUUUUCUAUUUUAGCGAUAUUUGAUUUUUCUUUUUAAUUUUAU
rnacentral:lncRNA from 1 species